UGAGUAGGUGCAACAAAGACCACAGGGUC
rnacentral:piRNA from 2 species